rnacentral:rRNA from 1 species
GGUGAGUAGGUAUAGUUAAUCUGCCCUACACAAGAGGACAACAGUUGGAAACGACUGCUAAUACUCUAUACUCCUGCUUAACACAAGUUGAGUAGGGAAAGUUUUUCGGUGUAGGAUGAGACUAUAUAGUAUCAGCUAGUUGGUAAGGUAAUGGCUUACCAAGGCUAUGACGCUUAACUGGUCUGAGAGGAUGAUCAGUCACACUGGAACUGAGACACGGUCCAGACUCCUACGGGAGGCAGCAGUAGGGAAUAUUGCGCAAUGGGGGAAACCCUGACGCAGCAACGCCGCGUGGAGGAUGACACUUUUCGGAGCGUAAACUCCUUUUCUUAGGGAAGAAUUCUGACGGUACCUAAGGAAUAAGCACCGGCUAACUCCGUGCCAGCAGCCGCGGUAAUACGGAGGGUGCAAGCGUUACUCGGAAUCACUGGGCGUAAAGGGCGCGUAGGCGGAUUAUCAAGUCUCUUGUGAAAUCUAAUGGCUUAACCAUUAAACUGCUUGGGAAACUGAUAGUCUAGAGUGAGGGAGAGGCAGAUGGAAUUGGUGGUGUAGGGGUAAAAUCCGUAGAUAUCACCAAGAAUACCCAUUGCGAAGGCGAUCUGCUGGAACUCAACUGACGCUAAGGCGCGAAAGCGUGGGGAGCAAACAGGAUUAGAUACCCUGGUAGUCCACGCCCUAAACGAUGUACACUAGUUGUUGGGGUGCUAGUCAUCUCAGUAAUGCAGCUAACGCAUUAAGUGUACCGCCUGGGGAGUACGGUCGCAAGAUUAAAACUCAAAGGAAUAGACGGGGACCCGCACAAGCGGUGGAGCAUGUGGUUUAAUUCGAAGAUACGCGAAGAACCUUACCUGGGCUUGAUAUCCUAAGAACCUUUUAGAGAUAAGAGGGUGCUAGCUUGCUAGAACUUAGAGACAGGUGCUGCACGGCUGUCGUCAGCUCGUGUCGUGAGAUGUUGGGUUAAGUCCCGCAACGAGCGCAACCCACGUAUUUAGUUGCUAACGGUUCGGCCGAGCACUCUAAAUAGACUGCCUUCGUAAGGAGGAGGAAGGUGUGGACGACGUCAAGUCAUCAUGGCCCUUAUGCCCAGGGCGACACACGUGCUACAAUGGCAUAUACAAUGAGACGCAAUACCGCGAGGUGGAGCAAAUCUAUAAAAUAUGUCCCAGUUCGGAUUGUUCUCUGCAACUCGAGAGCAUGAAGCCGGAAUCGCUAGU